CGGGAGGCAGCAGUCGGGAAUAUUGGACAAUGGGCGCAAGCCUGAUCCAGCCAUGCCGCGUGUGUGAAGAAGGCCUUAGGGUUGUAAAGCACUUUAAGUAGUGAAGAAGGCUGUACGGCUAAUACCCGUGCGGAUUGACAUUAGCUACAGAAUAAGCACCGGCUAACUCCGUGCCAGCAGCCGCGGUAAUACGGAGGGUGCAAGCGUUAAUCGGAAUUACUGGGCGUAAAGCGCACGUAGGCGGACUUUUAAGUCAGAUGUGAAAUCCCGGGGCUCAACCUCGGAACUGCAUUUGAAACUGGAAGUCUAGAGACCAGGAGAGGUUAGCGGAAUACCGAGUGUAGAGGUGAAAUUCGUAGAUAUUCGGUGGAACACCAGUGGCGAAGGCGGCUAACUGGACUGGUACUGACGCUGAGGUGCGAAAGUGUGGGGAGCAAACAGGAUUAGAU
rnacentral:rRNA from 14 species